rnacentral:rRNA from 1 species
GACGUAGGGCGCAAGCGUUGUCCGGAAUUAUUGGGCGUAAAGAGCUCGUAGGCGGCUUGUCACGUCGGGUGUGAAAGCCCGGGGCUUAACCCCGGGUCUGCAUUCGAUACGGGCUAGCUAGAGUGUGGUAGGGGAGAUCGGAAUUCCUGGUGUAGCGGUGAAAUGCGCAGAUAUCAGGAGGAACACCGGUGGCGAAGGCGGUUCUCUGGGCAUUACCUGACGCUGAGGAGCGAAAGUGUGGGGAGCGAACAGG